CCUAGUUUAAAUCGCGGUUAAUCUUAGUAUUCACAAGCGAAUCGCUAGUAAAUUUAGUAUAAUUUGCAAGCCGGUACGUCGAGGAAUCGCCGCGUUUCCUGAUUUAGGCCGGGAGAGCAACGUUACCACGUAGGCAGCGACCGCGUGGGGCUCCGCCGACCUGAAGAAGCUAAAGAGGGGACUAGGAGGCGACCACACCACUCGAUCGAGCGGCCUGAGCCAACGCGAAAGGCGCCGACCGAGCCACCAAAGCGGAACCACGUGCGUGGCACGCGGCCCGCAGCAGGGAACGACGACCGCAACUACCAAAGGGACCACGUGGGUGGUACCACAUCCAAGGCAGAAGGAGUGCCCAAGCGAGGGCAAUCACCAAGUAACACCACGCGCACGAGCUUCAAUCGAGAAGGCAAGUGAGCUGGCAAUUCCUAACCUAUUUACCUAAUCUCCCUACCAAAUUUAAUUGUAAUCGUUUAAUCUCCCUACCAAUUGUAAAUUGUAAUCGUUUUCUUAAUCAUGAGUAAUGACACAGAAAAAUCCAAAAUAACUCUAGGGGAGUUAGAAAUUAAACAGUUAAAAUGUAAACGAGGUGUCUAUAAGCGAAAAUUAACUAUAUUUAAGAAAUUCAUAGAAAAUAUCGACACAAGCGCAUUGACGGCCGAAAUAAUUUUAGACGUAAGCUUAAGACUAGAUCAAUUACCAAAGUUAUACCAUGAUUUCUCUGAGACACAGGACCGGAUCGAGACACUGUGCAGCGAGGAAGGUGACAUCGAGGCCCAAGAGGCCGAACGAUUUCAAAAACUUUCUAAAGAACCGAGCUGACCGGCUGGAAGCGACCAGCCCAGCAGUACCAUCGGACGCACCCAGCACUUCCAAGAAGGCCAUGGUAACCACGUCCGAACCUAUUAAGGUAACCUCAAAACAGUUUAAAUCCAACCAGUGCCCGUAUUGUUCGAGUACACAUUAUAUUAAUCAGUGUCCAAAGUUUAUUGCAUUAAACGUUAUCGCGCGAAUCCGAGCCGUGAAUAAAUUACGAUUAUGCUUUAAUUGUUUGUCCGGAACGCAUGUCUUAACAAACUGCAGGGCCAGUACAUGUCGAGUAUGUAAGGGCAAGCAUCAUACGUUACUACACAAACCAAAUACCAACACUCAUGUAGGUAGUAACCCCAUACCAACGCGAUUACCAAUAUCAACAUUAAUCGACGAACAACCGAGUUCUAGUCAAAUCGAGACUACCCUGUCGAAUAACACUAUAAUCGAAAAACAAAUAAACAAUGCGCGAAAUAGAUCAGUUUUCCUCACAACAGCCCAAGUGCUCGUUAGGGAUAAGCAUAACAAUGUGCAUAAACUAAAAGCAUUUUUAGACAAUGGCUCCCAAGAAAAUUUCAUUACCCAAAAUGCGGCAAAAAGGUUAAAAUUAAAUAAGGAACAAAAUGCCUUAAACGUCAUAGGUUUCAAUGAAAAAGUGUCUAGCGUCGUAGAAUCGUGUGACGUAACAUUCCAUUCCUUAGACGGUAACUUUACAACGAAUUUGUUCUGUUUUAUUACGCCUACAAUUUGUACUACCAAUAUCGAAAUACCAAACGUGCAACGUUGGCACAUUCCGUCGCGUUAUAAGUUAGCUGAUGACGAGUUUAACUUAGCUCAAGAUGUAGAUUUGCUUAUCGGUGGGGAGAUAUUCUUCGAUUUACUACUUACCGGUAAAUAUUCGCUCGGGCCCGGAUUACCGGUUCUGAGGCGCUCGCGACUGGGAUGGUUAGUCACGGGUCCCGUACAUAAAAAAUCCGAGUCUGCUAUUCAAUGUAAAAUUACAGUUGAAACGCAAUUAAAAAAGUUUUGGGAAAUAGAGGAGGGUUCCGCACCAAAUUUACCUUAUGAUGAAAAACAAUGUGAGGAUAUAUUUCUGAAAACUCACACUCACAACUCUGAAGGUAAUUUUGAAAUUGAACUUCCAUUAAAGCAACCACCUACCAAACUAGGUCGAUCUAGGCACAUAGCAUAUCGGAGGUUCAAAACUUUAGAAACCAAGUUCGAGCGGAACCCCGAAUUUAAAGAUAAAUAUGUGAAUUUCAUGCGCGAGUUCGAACAAGCUGGCCAUAUGAUUAAAUUACAAGAUAAUUAUGAUGGCCCAUGUAAUUUUCUACCCCACCAAGCGAUUUUUCGCGACUCCCCCUCUACCCCUAUUCGCAUUGUUUUUGACUGCUCAUGCCGCACCGAUAACGGCGUUUCUUUGAAUGAUAUCCAGUACAAAGGCUCAAUAAAACAGGACGAACUCAUAAAUAUACUUCUACGGUUCCGAAAGUACCAAUAUGUUAUUAAUGCCGACAUACAAAAAAUGUACAGAUGUAUUUAUGUGAAACCAAAUCAACAAUACCUACAAUGCAUAUUUUGGCGGGAAAAUACUCACCAACGACUCCAAAUUUAUAUGCUGACCACAUUAAGUUUCGGCUUAAAGUCAGCACCACAUAUAGCAACCAGAUGUUUGUUACAAUUGUCAAACGAGAACCAACACACGUUUCCAGCAGCUGCAGAGGCCAUAGCGAACCAGUUCUACAUGGACGAUUUUAUCGCCGGCGGCGACGACGAGAAUCAGGUAGCUGAAACUGCAACACAGGUGAACGAGAUCCUGCAGGGCGCCAACUUCACGCUGCGGAAAUGGAAGUCCAACUCCGAAGCUGUCAUAAAUCGGGUGAGCGGAACACACACACACCAAAACACAUCUGCAAUCGAAUUUGGAGAUAAAACACAUAAGGUUCUAGGCUUAGCGUGGUCUAGUGACACAGAUGAGCUUAUGUAUACUAUUAAAGAAAACCAAAUUUCACACCCAAUCACCAAAAGAAAGGUACUAGGGGUAAUUUCGUCCAUUUUCGACCCCCUAGGCUUGACGGGACCAGUAAUUGUAGUAGCCAAAAUAUUUAUCCAAAAAUUAUUUAAGGCUCAAUUAGAUUGGGAUACCGAAUUAACACAAGACUUGAUUCAAGAAUGGAACACAUUCUAUCGAGACUUGUUUUUAUUAAACCAAUUGAAAAUUUCGAGAUGUACAAUCAUACCUAAUUAUGUAACGAUACAAAUUCAUGGGUUCUGUGAUAGUAGUAUUAAAGCUUAUGGCGCUGCCAUUUAUAUACGGUCGAGCGAUAGGGUAGGAAACAUUCAAGUUCACCUACUUUACUCAAAAUCCAAAAUUGCCCCAAUUACGUCCCAGACUAUUCCAAAUUUGGAACUUUGUUCAAGUCUACUACUCGCGACACAUGUAGACAAAGUAAAACGAGCGUUAAAAUGUGACAUUUCCAGAAUCAACCUGUGGUCAGAUUCAAAAAUAACAUUAUGUUGGAUUAAAAAUAGUAACCUUAAAUUAACUUGUUUUGUUAGUAACAGAGUCACAAAAAUAUUGUCACUUACAAACAAGCACGACUGGUCCUGGGUCCGCUCGGAGGAUAACCCCGCCGACCUUUUGUCCCGAGGAGUAGCACCAGGCAAGCUGGAAAACAACCAGUUAUGGUGGUCCGGGCCGGCGUGGUUAACUCAAAGUUCGGACACAUGGCCGACCCAGGAUUCUGAGUCACUGGAUCAUGCACCCGAAGCCAAGAGCGACGUUGAUGUAACACUCACCUUGGCUAUUAACACAAAAUCUAACGAUACGAUACAAUAUCUUUUCCACAGGUGGUCAAGCGAUAAAACACUUAUUCAUGUAUUAGCAUACAUACUUCGAUUUAUAUAUAACACAAAAAAUAAAACACGCACAAUUAAUCCAAAUAGAAAGUUAACAGGACCAUUGUCCGUAGACGAGUUAAAAAAAUCGGAUCACACAUUAAUUAGACAUGCACAAAUGCAAUCAUUCCCACACGAAUAUAAAUUGUUGCAAAACAACAAACCGGUUCUUAACAAAUCAAAAAUAUUAUCUUUACACCCAUUCAUGAAGGACGGACUCAUUCGCGUAGGCGGACGAAUCGCUCUUUCACAUUAUGCAUAUGAAAAAAAAAACACCCUUUAAUAUUAAGUCACGAACACACGCUUACCAAACUACUGAUGGCAAACGCACACAUACGUACUUUGCACGCUGGCCCUCAGUUAUUACUCUCAACUAUUCGCGAGCGCAUCUGGCCAACAAAGGGUAGAAUGUUAGCCUCGAAAAUUGUAAAUAAAUGCGUUCCGUGUUUUAGAGCAAAUCCAAAGACUACUAACCCUAUAAUGGGAAACUUACCCCCCUCGAGGGUAAACCCGUCUCCCCCAUUUGCUAUCACUGGUAUAGAUUAUGGAGGACCUUAUAACAUUAGAGAUAGGACAGGACGUGGUUACAAGGUCUAUAAGUGCUAUAUAGCAGUAUUUAUUUGUUUUGCAACAAAGGCAAUUCAUCUCGAAUUAAUUACAGGGCUCGAGUCGGCUAAUUUCCUGGCGGCGCUGCGACGUUUCAUAGCCAGGAGAGGUAAACCGAAGGAGUUGGACUUCUGGCGGCGCUGGUCACGUGACUACAUCGGAACGCUGCAGGAACGCACGAAAUGGAGGAGCGCGCGCGGCCCAAGCCUCGCAGCCGGCACCGUCGUCCUGGUACGAGAGGAACGCCUGCCCCCCUGCCGGUGGAGGCUGGGCAAGAUCGUCGCGACGCAGCCGGGGCGGGAUGGCGUCACCAGGGUAGCCAUCAUCCGAACCACCAGAGGAGACAUCCAACGCGCGUUCAAUAACAUUUGUCCAUUACCUACUUCGGGUCAAGUUAUAUAAAUAGUAAAUACCUACCAACCUAAUGUAACAUUCAAACAAUUAUAAUUAAGUACCUAAUAAGUAUGAUUAAGUACCUUAAAUACCUUACUUACCUAAUACCUAUGUAUAGAAUUAGAAUACCUACUCCCUAUUUAAAAUAAAAAACAUGUC